UUUUUUUUUUUUUUGAGACAGAGUCUCACUCUGUCACCCAGGCUGGAGUGCAGUGGCGUGAUCUCCGCUCACUGCAAGCUCUGCCUCCCAGGUUCGCGCCAUUCUCCUGUCUCAGCCUCCCGAGUAGCUGGGACUACAGGUGCCCACCACCACGCCCAGCUAAUUUUUGUAUUUUUAGUAGAGACGGGGUUUCACCCUGUUAGCCAGGAUGGUCUCGAUCUCCUGACCUCGUGAUCCGCCCCCCUCGGCCUCCCAAAGUGCUGGGAUUACAGGCGUGAGCCACCGCGCCCGGCCUAAGCCUUGAUCUCUUAAUCUGUAAAAUGAGGAAAAUAGUUUCCACCUCACAGCAUUGUUAUAAAAAUGAAACAGAAAACAAAUGGGCCCAGGUGAAAUACUUAAUGAAGGGUCAGGCACACUGCAUUCCCUUUCUCCUUCGCUUGAGCUGAGGAACUGUCUGAAUUCCUGCCUUGCACAUAGUAGUUGCUUAAUCAAUGUCUUUAAAAUGAAUGAGGAUAUGAUAUAAUACGUUUUCAGAUGUAAUAAGUAAGCUGCGAACCCAAAGCACAGUGGAAUCAAUUUCAUCAACCCUGCUCAUAACCUCUGCUGCUACCACCUUAUUUCAAACUACCAGUCUCCCAUCUGACCUUCCGCUGUGACUUCUGAGCUCCUGCAGCCAUUGCCGUUGUAGACCCCUGAGGAUCUGUCUUCCACACAGCUGCAUGUCCCGCCUCUGCUCAAAACUCUCCAGCAACAUCUUCAACUCACCUCUUAGCAUAAGAGCCACAGUCUUUGUAGAACAUGCAUGGUUCCACAUCAUCUGCCCCUACCGUGUGUCAACCACCUGGCUUUCUACAUGCCUUCCUCUUGCUCACAGGGACCCCCUUGCUGUUCCUAGAAUGUGCCAUGCACACUUCCCUCAGGACCUACCCUCUGGUUGGAGUGUUGUCUUCAAGAUAUGGGAGGGCUCACUCCGUUUGUUCCCCUGUCCCCCAGGCUUUCUCUGUGCUCUGCGCUUUGUGCUGCAGGAGGCUGACCUCCAUGAACUGCUUCUCCUGGCUCCCUAGUGCUGUGGCUCCCAGGAGCACUGGCAGGAGGCUGGUGAGCAGGAGGAGGCAGGGAGCACUGAUCUCCCUUGCAACCUGGGGCUGUUCCCUCCUGCCUGGUGCUUUGGGCAGUGGCUGAGUUCCUUUACUUCUGGCCCCACUGCAGUCAAGCAGACUUUUCCUCUUGGCUACAGCUCUUGCUAAGUUCCAACACCGCCACUCUCUCCCUCUGCCCCUUCAGGACUGUGUGUGGUAACAGCUUCCUACUGUAGCUAGUCCGUGGGUACUGUCUAUACCUGUGUAAAUAGCACCUUUAUUCAGUUCUCGUCAAUUUCUCCUUUGAAUGUGCCAUCUGUUCCUGCUGGGAUCUAAACUGGGCUCAGAGGUCACCUCCAGAGGGAAGCCUUCCAGAAUAACCUCUUUAAAAUAAUAAUCCUCUCACUCAUUUAUGAUACUUUAUCCUGGCGGUACUUACCACCAUCUGACAUAUAAUAUACUCAUUUAUAUUUGCUGAUUGUGUCUCCCUCUACUAGACUGUAAGCUCAAAGGACAUCAUCUUUCUUUUGUUUCCUGAUGUGUCUCCAGUUCCUAUUACAGAGUCUAGUUUACAUAAAUAUGUACUUUAAUAAAUGUUUGUUGAGUGGAUGGAUUCUAAAAUGUAGAAAAUUACAUUGGGGAUUUCAUUUCUUUCUAACAUUUUAAAUGGUAAGGGCAGUGAACUAAUAGACACAGAAACUAUUCUGAUCCAUGCAGAGCAGAAUUUAAGGAGAGGAUGGGAUAUAAAAUCAUUGAAAACCUGACUGUCCCUAGGUUAGGCUUGUAGUAAAAGUAACUGGUACAUCUCUGACUUGAGCAAGAACUUGAAGAUAUUUAAACAUUCUACUCUCCUGACAUAUCUGAGUGCCUACAGUAGAAUUAGCAAGUGAUGAAUUAAAUGGUUUCACUGGAGGCCUUUUAAAAGUACUCCAUCUCAGUAUUUCUCACCCUGAGUAUCUAAAUGGUAAUAGGUUAUGGCACCAACAAUACCACAAAAAAGAUAAAUUAUGCAGAGAAAACACUAAGGAUAAUAUGGCCAUCAUUAAGCUAGACUCUCUCUGAACAGAUAAUAGAUUUUCAAGUUUUUUUUUCUAAUUAUCUAGAUUAUCUUUUUAAAUAUAUCACUAUUCAAGUAAUUUUAUUUUAUCCUAAAUAUCACCACAUUUAUGAUCAGAAAUUAGUUAAUAAACUCUUGAUCUCCUCCUGAAUUUGUUUAUGGCGUUUUGAGUUUACAUGUUAAAAGGUAGGGCUAAUCUCAAGACUUCAAUCACGUAGAUCUUCAUUUUCAGAUGAGCCUUAGAACAGCGGUCCCCAGCCUUUUCGGCACCAGAGACUAGUUCCAUGGAAGACCAUUUUUUCACACAUGCAGGGAGGGGCAGAGGAUGGUUUCAGGAUGAAACUUUUCCAUCUCAGAUCAUCAGGAAUUAGAGUCUCAUAAAGGGCGUGCAACCUAGGUCCGUUGCAUGCGCAGUUCACAAUAGGGCUUGCACUCCUGUAAGAAUCGAAAGCCAGCCGGGCACGGUGACUCACACCUGUAAUCCCAGUACUUUGGGAGGCUGAGGUGGGUGGAUCACCUGAGGUCGAGAGUUCAAGAGCAGCCUGACCAACAUGGAGAAACCCCGUCUGUACUAAAAAUACAAAAUUAGCUGGGCGUCAUGCCUGUAAUCCCAGCUACUUGGGAUGCUGAGGCAGGAGAAUCGCUUGAACCCGGGAGGCGGAGGUUGCAGUGAGCAGAUUGUGCUGCGAUCCAGCCUGGGCAACAAGAGCAAAACUCUGUCUUAAAAAAAACAAAAAAACAAAAAGAAUCAAAUGCCCCUGCUGAUCUGACAGGUGGUGGAGCUCAGGUGGUAAUGCUCGCUCACCAGCUGCUCACCUCCUGCUGUGUGGCCCAGUUCCUAACUGGCCACAGACCGGUAGUGGUCUGUGGCCCAGGGGCUAGGGGACCUCUGCCUUACAGGAUACCAAAGUUGAGCUCUGUUAAUGUUCUGCUCUUCAUUUGAAAUGAGAGAAUGAAGUCUGAUAGGCCCAAGAACUUUUUCUUUCAUUCUAAAGUCAGGACUAUCAGAAAUCUCCCUCCGGUUAGGAAUGGUCCACCUCCUCCCAUCUCACUUUUUAAGUCAGCCUGGGUUAUAGCACCUGGUUUUUUUUGUUUGUGUAUUGUUUGUAUCUUACAAGUGUUAGUCCUGGUUUUUAGUUGGGAAUAGCUGUUGAAUGAUCAUAUGUCUGUGGAAGAAAAGAAUAAAUGGACUCUGGAGACAGAAAUGUUCAAUGCACAGUGCCAUAUGCCUGCAGUCAUUUACAAAUGCACCUAUUCUCACACUUGGCUGCAUGUUGAAAUCACCUGAGGGAGUUUCAGAACAACACUGAUACCUGGAUCCUAUCCCUAGAGACCAUGAUUUAAUUGAUAUGGGGUACAUCACAAGCAUUGGAGGUUUUCAAAGCUCUUGGGUAUUCUAAUAUGGCAGAGAGUUGGUGAACUGCUGAUUUAGGCCAUCCAAACAUCACUGGCAUACAUUUGAUGCAGGUUUCACUGAUUCUAGUCACAAGUAGCUUCUGCUGCUUUAACUCUAGAGACACUACAGUUCCUCUUGCAUUCUCCCACUUUGGUUCAAUAGGAAAAUCUCUGCCGCUUAGUGAUUUUCCAAGAAACAUGAGCUUCUGCCUUUCAAUGAGGAAGAUACUCAGAAGUCAUGUUCGAGCACUCCGGUAAGUCACACAGCAAGGAAUCUUAAUCCCAGGUAGGGAUGUUUGGGGGUGUAUCAGAAGAAUGGGUAAUCACUUCUGAGGAGAAUGAUCUCUCAGCCUGUGAAUCUUUAACCACUGAAGCCCAGAGAGGAGUGUUUUCAUUAACUUGUGGCCAGGCAUUGGUAAGAUCUGGCCACAUACCAGUUUCCUUCCUAGUGGAUUAUACCAUUCCUUGUCUCUGAGAGGUUGUGAAUGUUCCUUCUUUCCCCCCGCCCCACUUUUUUCUGCUUGUUUGUCUGCUUCCUUGACUAUUUAUGAUGUGGAGAGACCAAGGCCCAGAUAUUUCUACAGGGACACAGAAAAAGCAAACUCUUAGGGGAACCGCAGUACUGGCAGUGCCAAGGAUAAUACAGCUCUACUUAAGCUAGAAAUCUCUCUGCACAGAUAAUAGAUUUUUGAAGAUUUUUUUUGGUUCUUCUAAUUGUCUAGAUUAUCUCUUUAAAUAUAUCACUAUUCAAGUAAUUUCAAUUUAUCCAAAAUGUUUUCACCAAAUUUAUUAUCAGGAUUUAGUUAAUAAACUCUUGAUCGAAGGCAAAAGACCAAUUUUGCCAUUUUUUUGUAAAGUAGAGGGAAAUAUGCAAGAGUGGCAGAGUGGGCCGUGAAAGAGAAGUGCAGAAGGUUAUUGGUCUUAGACCUCAUUUCCUUGUUAGAUUUUUUUCUAAACCUGACCAAAUGGUCUACUGAAGUACUCACAUGGUUUAAAAAAUCACUUUACAAAAAUUAAAUCAAAGGGGAAAAAGCUCGGUGGCUUCUGGAAGGCAUUUGUACUAGCAUUUGAGGUGGUGUUUAUAGCUCAUACCUGUAAUCCCAGCACUUUGGGAGGCUGAGGUCGGCAGAUCACUUGAGGUCAGGAGUUCGAGACCAGCCUGGCCAACACGGUGAAAUCCCAUUUCUACUAAAAAAUACAAAAAUCAGCCAGGCGUGGUGGCACACAUCUGUGAUCCCAGCUACUCAGGAGGCUGAGGCGGGAGAAUCGUUUGAACCCAGGAGGCAGAGGUUGCAGUGAGCCGAGAUUGCGCCACUGCACUCCAGCCUAGGUGACAGAGCGAAACUCCAUCUCAAAAAUAAAUAAAUAAAUAAAUAAAUAAAUAAAUAAAUAAAUAAAUAAAGUGGUGUUUACAAAGGGAUCAUAACAAUCAGUUCAUCAGAAUUUGGAGGGCAAAAUUGAUUCUUAUUGACAAUUUCCUGGAUGAUAGUGCAAUAUGAAUUAGUUACUAUAAAAGCACUUAUCUCCUUUAAUUUAAUUUGCUGUCUCAGAUUGUCCAUCAGGGGAUUUUUGAGGAAAAGUGUUCAAGGAUAUUCUGAACUUUUGGUUCUGUUAUGAUGUCAGACACAGGAGACCCAGUCAGGUGUCUGGACUCUGGAAGAGCUCUCUAUGCUGAGAGAGAGAACAUGGAAGCUACUGGCGGAGCAAAGAAUCCAAGAAAUUUAUUGUUUUUUAACACUGGCUUUUCCUCCCCACUCUACUGGAAACAACACAUAUGUAUUUAAAAGAGUUUCACAUAUACUAAUGCACAGCCAAGCUUCUUGAGUGUACCAAAAGAUACUGUCUAGUUUCCAUAAAAGGGCUGUAUUAUGCCUAGAUAAUACCAAGAUUGUGGAGUGACAACCCCCAUGAGUAGCGGAGUUAAUAUUCCAAUACUCUACGUGUUUACUGAGGUACUUGUUAGCUCCCUGUCUUUAGGGAUACACCUUAACAAAGCUUAGAAGCGCAGAGGGCCAAUAUUUAUACUUGUUAGACAUGCCUUGAUGGUUUGGAGCCAUUUCCAACAACAGCUGUACAAAUGGUUGAUGUUAUGGUGCUUUCUCAGACUUAAAUCCCAUUUGGCAAUUCCUAUGUAUGUGCAAACACUGAAAAUAUUUUCAUUUUUGACAUGUAGGGGAAUUCAAUUUGGGAUUUAAAUGUUAACCCAAAAGGGAUCAUCCAUUCUCCUGCUUGCCCUUCCACAUAUGUUCCUCCCUCGUUCUCCCUCUCAGUGACAGUGCUGACUGCCAUGACUUCCCCUCAAGAAAUUCCCAGAGCCUGCUCUUUUGUGCUGUCAUAAACAUAAGGAGUGAAACAUUGGCUGGAAAUGUAAACUUGGAUCGAGUUUCCAAAACACAACAGAACAAUUGGUGGUCUUGUCAAGUCCAGUCCUUAAAUUGGACAAAACCAUAGCCUUGACUAUUCUGUUGUUUAUAAGGUUCAUCCCAUAUAUAAACGAUUUUUUUAAAAUUAUGGGAGAUACACAUUUAUAAGUGCAGUGAAUCUUUGUUUAGAAAAAGCAAUUUGUCUGUCUCCUGAAUUGGUAAGCUUUUUCUCUUUCCUCUUUCCAGCCCAAAGUAAAACAAAGCACUGUUUCACCUUGUAAUUGCGGGUGAGCCACAAUGAACUUGCUCAAUGUAAAGAAAUCUUCAUGGCACUUUAAAUCAUUUUGGGGAGAAUAUAGUUGUUAGAUAAGAGGUGUUGCCUUGUGAGCCACGAUUCUUGGAAAAUGUCUGAGACUUAGGCACACACAUGUGCACAUGCAAACACUUGGGCAAACACAUAUGCAGCUUCCAAAGUUUUGUCAGAUUUUAUUAGAAGAGGAUUUUCUCCUUGGCUCCGUGUACACUGCUUGUACCCUGCUAGUUAAGGGAAGUGGAAGAUCCUUGGUUUAUAGGGUGAAAAGCCCAAGUGGCAGGAUAACCAUCCAUAAACCAGCCUCAGGAAGGGGCCAAGUAGGGAUAACUGAAAUUAGCCACUAACUGAUGAUAAUGGGGAUUAUCUGGGGGUAACUUUGGGGAUGCACUAAGCAACAUACAUUGGGGUUGCUUUUUAAGGAAAAAACAGUGUACUUCUGAGAAAGGAAAUGCUUUUUGGAGUCAGGACAAAUUUAGGCCUCUCUAAUCUAAAAAGUCCCUUUGCCUGAUUUUACGGCCAUAGUGAGAAAAGAGCAAGGUAAAUAUACAAGGCCACCCACAGGGACACAGAGCCUUUCCCCUGCCUGUGUUCUCACUGUAAAAAUAUGCAUGGCCACUCACACACAUGCAUACACACAGACACACACACAUGCAUUCAUGCACACACACAGGUAUGCACAUAUACAUUUGCAUGCACACACACACACACACACCUCAAAAUUAUUUCUUGAUACUGCUUUGUAGAAACAGAAACAGGAACACACCAUAUCCAGGCUACAUUUGGUAGAGAACAUUCCAGCUUUGUGCCUCAGUUGAUUUCCUUCUCUCUUCCUCUUGCUCUCUUUUGGUAAUUUAUUCACAUAUAUAUCAAACAGGAGAAUAUCAUUUUUAAAAAUGUGACUAGGCUGGGCACAGUGGCUCAUGCCUAUAAUCCCAGCACUUUGAGAGGCUGAGUCAGGCAGAUCACUUGAGCUGAGGCGUUCAAGACCAGCCUGGGCUACACGGUGAAACCUCGUCUCUACAAAAAAAAAAAUAAAAUAAAUUAAAAAAUCCCUGGUUAGGUGGUACACACCUGUAUUCCCAGCUACUCAGGAGGCUGAGGUAGGAGGAUUCCUUAAACCUGGGAAAUUGAGGCUGUGGUGAGCCGUGAUCACACCACUGCCUGCCUGGAUGGAAGAGUGAGACCUGUCUCAAAAAAAUAAAAAAAAAUGUGACUAACAAUAAUAUGGAUAUUUAACUUGCCCAGUGCGACUUAUACAUAUGGCCACAGAUACAGAACCAGGCAUUAGAGAAUUAUCUGUAUGUUUUGAACAUUUUACAGGAAAAUGUCCUUGGAGUUUCAACAUUUCUUUGGUCUUCCACAUUUCAUUUUGUCCUGAUUAAAGAGGAAGCCAGUUGCUGUUUGUGUGGCCAUGUGAGCAGGCAGGGAGAUGGUGGCUGCCUAGAAGCCAAGAGAAGUGGCCUCAAGAUGAAAUCUACCUUGCUGGUACUUUGAUCUUGGACUUGCAGCCUCCAGAACUGUGAGGCUUGUCCAUUUUAAUGAGAAGCUUAUGUGGCAUGGAACUGAGUUCACCCCCAACCAGCAGCUGGUGAGGAAUGGAGCUCUUCGUUCAAUGACUCAUAAUGAGCUUUGAGACAACCAAAGCCCCCUAGCUAACCUGUGCCUGGAUUCCUGGCCCACAAAGACAGUGAGAGAGGGACCCAACUCAGCCCAUGAAGCCACUGAAAUACAGGAAAGAGCAUCUUCAUUGAAGCCACUGGAGCAUGGGAAAGAGCACCACCAGCUCCCUGCUCGCUAGCUGUGAACCUCAGGAUGGAAUAGAAGAUGGAUAAAAAGCUUCUACUGCAGCCUGGGCCCAGUUCACUUUCUCUCUUGGCUCCAAUCCUGGUGGACACAGUAGGGGCUCCUCAAAAGCUCCACCCAUCACCUCCUUGAAUCACUGCAUCAUCUACUUCACACUGGGGCACAGACAAUUGGAUGGCUUCUUUGAUCUCUGUCUAGCACUUGAUCGUAAGUAUUGGAUUUGAAAACCUAACUUUAAAUAAUGUGAGGAAGAGGAUCCAAGGUAUGUUUUAUUUCAACAUAUUAAAAAUGGAUAUCAGAUAUAAAAAUACUGGUUAAGUUAUAUAAGUAGAAUUGUUUCCAGACCAUAUUGUGUAUUAAUUAUAUCCUAGUUCAUAGCCAUAAAACAAUAUUUUAUUAUACUACAUUUCCGGUGGUCACUGAGCAUCCAUGAGUAUAGUAAGUGGAAAAAUGGUAAAAUCUGCAAAAUGGUUCUAUAUUAGAUUUUAUUAAAUAAGAGAAGCAACAACUUAAAUCAGACUCAAAAAAUCAAAAUAAUUUGGCUCCUUUAAAAAGCAAAGAAAGAUCAACAAAAAACUAACAUUUGGCCGAGGUAGCUUGCUCCCUUGUGGAUUCAGAGCUGAAAGUUACUGAAGACAUAUCAGUACAAAUGUGCACAUUAGAUAAUUCCCACUAAAGCAUCUCUUGCAAAUAAAAUUUAUGGACAUCUGACAGCAUUUAUUGCCUGUCCUUUAUAAACACAGUACUUAACAAUAAAUGCCCUCAAAGAAUUCUCCAGUUCUCAGAUCCCACCACAGAAGGACUUAAGCUUCAAAACUACUGGCUUUCUUCUGAAAACCUUUUUUUCAUCCAAUGAAUACCAAAAGAACCUCUUUCCUGAAUAAAAUAUUAGCUGAAUGGUUUACUGUAGAAUAAUCCCUUAUCUUAGCUAUCAAUGCUGAUGUGUCAUUUAUGGUUAUUUGUUAUAUGAUAGAUAAAAUGUUUGAAUGAUAAAUCCUAAAUAAGUUUUGAAUAUGUAUUAUAUAUAAUAUGCAUAUGUUAUAUAUAUUAUGUAAAAUAUAUAUAUACUUUUUCCU